CUGGCCCUUUCUGGAAAAAAAUUGAAGACCCCUGGUUUAGAUAACUAAAAGUGGAAAACCUGUUAGUUCAUGGAACAUGCCUGAGAUCUGUGUUACAUCAUUCCACAAAUUCUGCAUUUUUAUUCCAGAAAUUACAGUAUGGGAUAUGUGAGUUUUGGGAGUGACAUCAUUCUAACAUUUUGACUCCAGCUUGUUACUCAACCAUCACUCAAAUGCAGUGUUUCAAGUUACAAUUUUACAGCUUUACAUUACAUUACAUGUUUAAUGUUAUAUUUGGUUCCUUGAUGAUCCCUGGGUUGAAACACAGGUUUUAAACAAUUGCUUUUAUUUAAGCUCUGCAUUAUGUCCUG